AACGAACGCUGGCGGCGUGCCUAACACAUGCAAGUCGAGCGGGAAAGUGGGGGCAACUCCACGAGUACAGCGGCGCACGGGUGAGUAACACGUAGGUAACCUACCUACGAGCCUGGGAUAACCUGCCGAAAGGCGGGCUAAUACCGGAUAAGACCACGAGGGCUGCGGCUCUUGCGGUAAAAGGUGGCCUCUCCUUGGAAGCUACCACUCGUUGAUGGGGCCUGCGCGCCAUUAGCUAGUGGCGGGGUAAUGGCCCACCAAGGCUUAGAUGGCUAGCUGGUCUGAGAGGAUGGCCAGCCACACUGGGACUGAGACACGGCCCAGACUCCUACGGGAGGCAGCAGUGGGGAAUCUUGCGCAAUGGGCGAAAGCCUGACGCAGCGACGCCGCGUGGGUGAUGAAGGCC
rnacentral:rRNA from 1 species